AAAAAGGCCGGAAUAGC
rnacentral:tRNA from 5 species